rnacentral:rRNA from 1 species
AACGAACGCUGGCGGCAGGCCUAACACAUGCAAGUCGAGCGAGGACUUCGGUUCUAGCGGCGGACGGGUGAGUAACGCGUGGGAAUGUGCCCUUCUCUACGGAAUAGCCCUGGGAAACUGGGAGUAAUACCGUAUACGCCCUUUUGGGGAAAGAUUUAUCGGAGAAGGAUCAGCCCGCGUUGGAUUAGGUAGUUGGUGGGGUAAUGGCCUACCAAGCCGACGAUCCAUAGCUGGUUUGAGAGGAUGAUCAGCCACACUGGGACUGAGACACGGCCCAGACUCCUACGGGAGGCAGCAGUGGGGAAUCUUAGACAAUGGGGGCAACCCUGAUCUAGCCAUGCCUCGUGAGUGAUGAAGGCCUUAGGGUUGUAAAGCUCUUUCAGCUGGGAAGAUAAUGACGGUACCAGCAGAAGAAGCCCCGGCUAACUCCGUG